rnacentral:tmRNA from 1 species
GGGGCUGACCGGUUUUGACAGCGGGUAGAAGUGGUUUGUAAGCAUGCAGUGCGUUGUUGGCUUGCACUUUAAUCUCAGACAACGAAUCAUUAACUGGCGAAAAUUCUUACGCUCUCGCUGCGUAGUCGAAGUUUUAGUAAACUGACGCUUAAUCCUUACGCAAAGCGUUUGGACGAGAUACCACCCGAAAGCCGUGGCUUCGAGGCAUUUCGAAUCGGUGGUACGGCAAUAUCGAAGAUAGUCUGAAGGAAGUCCCGUAUUUCAGAUGAAACAACAGGGAAUAAGCCUGAUAUGGGUGGCUUCGGUCUUUUAUCAGGUCGAAAACAAAGGCGAAGAUAAGCAUGUAGAAAACAAAUUGGUUCCUCGUUUGGACGAGAGUUCGAAUCUCUCCAGCUCCACAA